rnacentral:tRNA from 1 species
UUAAUUGAAACCAAAGUAGAGGUAUAUCACUGUUAAUGAUAAAAUUGGACCACUCUCCCAAUUAAA